rnacentral:rRNA from 1 species
AUACGUAGGUGACAAGCGUUAUCCGGAUUUACUGGGCGUAAAGGGCGUGUAGGCGGUCUUGCAAGUCAGAAGUGAAAUUCCUGAGCUCAACUCGGGCGCUGCUUCUGAAACUGCAGGUCUUGAGUAUCGGAGAGGCAAGCGGAAUUCCUAGUGUCGCGGUGAAAUGCGUAGAUAUUAGGAGGAACACCAGUGGCGAAGGCGGCUUGCUGGACGACAACUGACGCUGAGGCGCGAAAGCGUGGGGAGCAAACAGGAUUAGAUACCCUGGUAGUCCACGCCCUAAACGAUGAAUACUAGGUGUGGGGGGACUGACCCCCUCCGUGCCGGAGUAAACACAAUAAGUAUUCCACCUGGGGAGUACGACCGCAAGGUUGAAACUCAAAUGAAUUGGCGGGG